rnacentral:misc_RNA from 1 species
AAGUCGUAACAAGGUUUCCGUAGGUGAACCUGCGGAAGGAUCAUUAACGUGUCUGGCUUCGGCCCUCACGCCCCUUGUGUACCUCUGGUUUCUUUGGCGCCCCGCGUCAACGAACAACUCUUAUGAUUACUCGUCGAUACAAAUGAUUAAAA